UACGUAGGGGGCAAGCGUUGUCCGGAAUUAUUGGGCGUAAAGAGCGUGUAGGCGGCCAGAUAAGUCCGCUGUGAAAUCUCGAGGCUCAACUUCGAGCUGUCGGUGGAAACUAUUUGGCUAGAGUCCGGAAGAGGAGAAUGGAAUUCCUGGUGUAGCGGUGAAAUGCGCAGAUAUCAGGAAGAACACCCGUGGCGAAGGCGGUUCUCUGGGACGGUACUGACGCUGAGGCGCGAAAGCGUGGGGAGCGAACAGG
rnacentral:rRNA from 1 species